UUGUCUAGUUAAAUUUGAUUUAUUCUAUGUUGUUAUUUUAAGCUUGGGAAUCUGAUUUCUGGUGCAGGACAAAUCCUCAGCUAUAUUAAAUAAUGACCUACAGAGUUACUGAGGCUGAAAAAACACACCUCGAUCAAUUUCACGAUUAUACUCAUGUUUGGCUUAUGGACGGGGUUGGACUGGGCAGACGAGACACCAGGAAAAAAAUGCUGUGGGUCCCACCGACCUAGACCCGAUCCCUACCUGCCCUCCCCGCUGCCCUCAUUCUCACAUCACGGCAAAAGCUCCUUCCCUGCUGCAGAAACAUAUCGCUCAGUUUAAAAAGAAAUCCCAGAAAACAAGACUUUUUAUCAGAUGAGGGGGUGCUUAUGGCUGUGGGAAAAGAGAAAAAAAUGAAGCAAGCCAAAUAAAGUGCCUGGUCUGGAUACUGCACAACGAUCCACAACUAGGGAUACCCAGAACCUUGGUUCUCCAGUUGUAUGAGCUUCAAGACUUCCUGUUGUGUGAUGAAAGGGGACAGUUUCAUAACAAGCACAAAGUCUCCUCCAGUCAGAUGUUUGCUUUCCGAUAACAGACCAUAAAUACUACAUGCUGAUUGGCUUCUGUGAGUUACUAGAACUGGAGCAAAUUUUUACCUGGUAUUGGUCACCAUUAAAAUCUAUUCCUGCCUUCGACAUCUACACCACACACUGCAUCCGCAAAGUCACCAGCAUUGUGGCUGAUCGGACAUACCCCUCUCACUCACUCUUCACCCUUCUGCCAUCUGGAAAAAGAUACCGAAGCAUUCGGGCACUCACAUCCAGACUAUGUAGCAGUUUUUACCCACAAGCCAUCUGUCUUCUCAACACAAAGGGACUGGGCACACACACAAAUCAUUCAGACAAACACACACAUGAAAAUCACCUGAUCUAAAACUAUCUCACAAUUGUUCAUACCUACCUGAACUGCACUUUGCAAUUAUUUGCACAAUAUUUUUAAUUUAUGUUGUUAAAAUUUAUGUUGGGUUGUUAAUUCAUGUGUUACAUGUAGGUAGCAUCUUGGUCCUGGUCCUGGAUACGAAACGCUGUUUCCUUUCACUGUGUACUGUAUUGUAUAUGGUUGGAAUGACAAUAAAAACCUACUUGACUUGA